UACGAAGGGGGCUAGCGUUGCUCGGAAUCACUGGGCGUAAAGGGUGCGUAGGCGGGUCUUUAAGUCAGGGGUGAAAUACCUGGAGCUCAACUCCAGAACUGCCUUUGAUACUGAGGAUCUUGAGUUCGGGAGAGGUGAGUGGAACUGCGAGUGUAGAGGUGAAAUUCGUAGAUAUUCGCAAGAACACCAGUGGCGAAGGCGGCUCACUGGCCCGAUACUGACGCUGAGGCACGAAAGCGUGGGGAGCAAACAGG
rnacentral:rRNA from 1 species